CCUACGGGUGGCAGCAGUGGGGAAUAUUGGACAAUGGGCGAAAGCCUGAUCCAGCCAUGCCGCGUGUGUGAAGAAGGCCUUCGGGUUGUAAAGCACUUUCAGUGGGGAAGAAAGCCUUGGGGCUAAUACCCUCGAGGAAGGACAUCACCCACAGAAGAAGCACCGGCUAACUCCGUGCCAGCAGCCGCGGUAAUACGGAGGGUGCGAGCGUUAAUCGGAAUUACUGGGCGUAAAGCGCGCGUAGGCGGUCUGAUAAGCCGGUUGUGAAAGCCCCGGGCUCAACCUGGGAACGGCAUCCGGAACUGUUAGGCUAGAGUGCAGGAGAGGAAGGUAGAAUUCCCGGUGUAGCGGUGAAAUGCGUAGAGAUCGGGAGGAAUACCAGUGGCGAAGGCGGCCUGCUGGACUGACACUGACGCUGAGGUGCGAAAGCGUGGGUAGCAAACAGGAUUAGAUACCCCGGUAGUC
rnacentral:rRNA from 1 species